AGCGAACGCUGGCGGCAGGCUUAACACAUGCAAGUCGAGCGGGCACUUCGGUGUCAGCGGCAGACGGGUGAGUAACACGUGGGAACGUGCCCUUCGGUUCGGAAUAACUCAGGGAAACUUGAGCUAAUACCGGAUACGCCCUUUGGGGGAAAGGUUUACUGCCGAAGGAUCGGCCCGCGUCUGAUUAGCUAGUUGGUGGGGUAAUGGCCUACCAAGGCGACGAUCGGUAGCCGGCCUGAGAGGGUGANCGGCCACACUGGAACUGAGACACGGUCCAGA
rnacentral:rRNA from 1 species